AGAGUUUGAUUAUGGCUCAGGAUGAACGCUGGCGGCGUGCUUAACACAUGCAAGUCGAACGGAGUUUAGAGAGCUUGCUCUUAAACUUAGUGGCGGACGGGUGAGUAACGCGUGGGUAACCUGCCUUUCACUGGGGGAUAACAGUUAGAAAUGACUGCUAAUACCGCAUAAGCGCACGGGAUCGCAUGAUCUAGUGUGAAAAACUCCGGUGGUGAAAAGAUGGACCCGCGUCUGAUUAGCUAGUUGGUGAGGUAACGGCCCACCAAGGCGGCGAUCAGUAGCCGGCCUGAGAGGGUGAACGGCCACAUUGGGACUGAGACACGGCCCAAACUCCUACGGGAGGCAGCAGUGGGGAAUAUUGCACAAUGGGGGAAACCCUGAUGCCAGCGACGCCGCGUGAGUGAAGAAGUAUUUCGGUAUGUAAAGCUCUAUCAGCAGGGAAGAAAAUGACGGUACCUGACUAAGAAGCCCCGGCUAACUACGUGCCAGCCGCUGC
rnacentral:rRNA from 1 species